GAUGAACGUUGGCGACGUGCCUAACACAUGCAAGUCGAGCGGAGAAGAAGAGAGUGAACUUUUCGGAGCGAACUUUUUUCGGAUCAGCGGCGGACGGGUGAGUAAUACAUGAGGAACCUGCCCUCUCCAAGGGGAUAGCCGGGGGAAACCGCGAUUAUUACCCUAUGAGACCACGAAAGCGCAUGCUUUUGAGGUUAAAGAUUGAUCGGUAGAAGAUGGCCUCAUGACCCAUUUGCCAGUGGGUGAUUUAACAGCCCACCAAGGAGACGAUGGGUAGCCGGGUGGAGAGAGGGAACGGCUACGUUGGAAAUGCGACACGGUCCAGACUCCUACGGAAGGCAGCGGUGGGGAAUAUUGCACAAGGGAGGAAACCCUGAUGAAGCGACGUCGCGUGAGCGAAGAAGGCCUUCGGGUCGUAAAGCUCUGUCCUAUGGGAAGAAAAGGACGGUACCAGAGAAGGAAGCCCCGGCUAACUACGUG
rnacentral:rRNA from 1 species